AACGCGAAGAACCUUACCUGGGCUCGAAAUGCUUACGAACAUCUUUAGAAAUAGGGACUUCCCGCAAGGGACGUGAGUAUAGGUGCUGCAUGGCUGUCGUCAGCUCGUGCCGUGAGGUGUUGGGUUAAGUCCCGCAACGAGCGCAACCCUUACUCAUAGUUGCUACCCGCAAGGGAGAACUCUAUGAGGACUGCUCCGGAUAACGGAGAGGAAGGUGGGGAUGAGGUCAAGUCAGCAUGGCCUUUAUGUCCAGGGCUACACACGUGUUACAAUGCGCACCACAAAGCGUCGCAAACCCGCGAGGGGGAGCUAAUCGCAAAAAAGUGCGCUCAGUUCGGAUUGCAGUCUGCAACUCGACUGCAUGAAGCUGGAAUCGCUAGUAAUGGCGCAUCAGAACGGCGCCGUGAAUACGUUCCCGGGCCUUGUACACACCGCGAGC
rnacentral:rRNA from 1 species